rnacentral:rRNA from 1 species
CACACUGGAACUGAGACACGGUCCAGACUCCUACGGGAGGCAGCAGUAGGGAACCUUCCGCAAUGGGCGAAAGCCUGACGGAGCAACGCCGCGUGAGUGAUGAAGGUCUUCGGAUCGUAAAAUUCUGUUAUUAGGGAAGAACAAAUGUGUAAGUAACUAUGCACGUCUUGACGGUACCUAAUCAGAAAGCCACGGCUAACUACGUGCCAGCAGCCGCGGUAAUACGUAGGUGGCAAGCGUUAUCCGGAAUUAUUGGGCGUAAAGCGCGCGUAGGCGGUUUUUUAAGUCUGAUGUGAAAGCCCACGGCUCAACCGUGGAGGGUCAUUGGAAACUGGAAAACUUGAGUGCAGAAGAGGAAAGUGGAAUUUCAUGUGUAGCGGUGAAAUGCGCAGAGAUAUGGAGGAACACCAGUGGCGAAGGCGACUUUCUGGUCUGUAACUGACGCUGAUGUGCGAAAGCGUGGGGAUCAAACAGGAUUAGAUACCCUGGUAGUCCACGCCGUAAACGAUGAGUGCUAAGUGUUAGGGGGUUUCCGCCCCUUAGUGCUGCAGCUAACGCAUUAAGCACUCCGCCUGGGGAGUACGACCGCAAGGUUGAAACUCAAAGGAAUCGACGGGGACCCGCACAAGCGGUGGAGCAUGUGGUUUAAUUCGAAGCAACGCGAAGAACCUUACCAAAUCUUGACAUCCUCUGACCCCUCUAGAGAUAGAGUUUUCCCCUUCGGGGGACAGAGUGACAGGUGGUGCAUGGUUGUCGUCAGCUCGUGUCGUGAGAUGUUGGGUUAAGUCCCGCAACGAGCGCAACCCUUAAGCUUAGUUGCCAUCAUUAAGUUGGGCACUCUAAGUUGACUGCCGGUGACAAACCGGAGGAAGGUGGGGAUGACGUCAAAUCAUCAUGCCCCUUAUGAUUUGGGCUACACACGUGCUACAAUGGACAAUACAAAGGGCAGCGAAACCGCGAGGUCAAGCAAAUCCCAUAAAGUUGUUCUCAGUUCGGAUUGUAGUCUGCAACUCGACUAUAUGAAGCUGGAAUCGCUAGUAAUCGUAGAUCAGCAUGCUACGGUGAAUACGUUCCCGGGUCUUGUACACACCGCCCGUCACACCACGAGAGUUUGUAACACCCGAAGCCGGUGGAGUAACCAUUUGGAGCUAGCCGUCGAAGGUGGGACAAAUGAUUGGGGUG